GACGAACGCUGGCGGCGUGCUUAACACAUGCAAGUCGAGCGGUAAGGCCCUUUCGGGGUACGACGAGCGGCGAACGGGUAGAGUAACACGUGGGUGACCUGCCCUCAGCUCUGGGAGUAAGCCCGGGAAACCGUAGGGUCGUAAUACCGGAUAUGACUCCAUGACGCAUGUUGUGGGGUGGAAAGCCUUGUGCGGCUGAGGAUGGGCCCGCGGCCUAUCAGCUCGUUGGUGGGGUGAUGGCCUACCAAGGCGACGACGGGUAGCCGGCCUGAGAGGGCGACCGGCCACACUGGGACUGAGACACGGCCCAGACUCCUACGGGAGGCAGCAGUGGGGAAUCUUGCGCAAUGGGCGAAAGCCUGACGCAGCGACGCCGCGUGAGGAUGACGGCCU
rnacentral:rRNA from 1 species